AGUCUAAGUGCAAGUGGGCAAUAG
rnacentral:siRNA from 1 species